rnacentral:rRNA from 1 species
UACGUAGGUGGCGAACGUUAUCCGGAAUUAUUGGGCGUAAAGCGUUCUUAGGUGGUUAUGUAAGUUGGAUGCGAAAUCUACAGGCCCAACCUGUAAACUGUAUCCGAAACUGCAUAGCUGGAGCAUGUUAGAGGCUAGCGGAAUUUCUGGAGUAGGGGUAAAAUCCGUUGAUACCAGAAGGAACACCAAUUGCGAAGGCAGCUAGCUGGGGCAUUGCUGACACUUAUGAACGAAAGCGUGGGGAGCGAAACGG